rnacentral:rRNA from 1 species
AACGUAGGACACAAGCGUUAUCCGGAAUUACUGGGCGUAAAGGGCGUGUAGGCGGCCCUAUAAGUCUAUUCUGAAAGCUCCUGGCUAAACUGGGAGAGGCGAAUGGAGACUGUAGAUCUAGAGUGAGGAAGAGGAAAGUGGAAUUCCGCGUGUAGUGGUGAAAUGCGUAGAUAUUGGGAAGAACACCAGUGGCGAAGGCGGCUCUCUGGACCGUAACUGACGCUGAGGCGCGAAAGCGUGGGGAGCAAACAGG